rnacentral:rRNA from 1 species
ACCAGACUCCUACGGGAGGCAGCAGUGGGGGAUAUUGCACAAUGGGGGGAACCCUGAUGCAGCGACGCCGCGUGGGUGAAGAAGCGCCUCGGCGCGUAAAGCCCUGCCAGCAGGGAAGAAAAUGACGGUACCUGAAGAAGAAGCCCCGGCUAACUACGUGCCAGCAGCCGCGGUAAUACGUAGGGGGCAAGCGUUAUCCGGAUUUACUGGGUGUAAAGGGGGCGCAGACGGCGAUGCAAGCCAGGAGUGAAAGCCCGGGGCCCAACCCCGGGACUGCUCUUGGAACUGCGUGGCUGGAGUGCAGGAGGGGCAGGCGGAAUUCCUGGUGUAGCGGUGAAAUGCGUAGAUAUCAGGAGGAGCACCGGUGGCGAAGGCGGCCUGCUGGACUGCAACUGACGUUGAGGCCCGAAAGCGUGGGGAGCAAACAGGAUUAGAUACCCCGGUACC